AACGAACGCUGGCGGCAGGCUUAACACAUGCAAGUCGAACGCCCCGCCAGGGGAGUGGCAGAAGGGUGAGUAACGCGUGGGAACAUACCCUUUUCUACGGAAUAGCUCUGGGAAACUGGAAUUAAUACCGUAUACGCCCUACGGGGGAAAGAUUUAUCGGGGAAGGAUUGGCCCGCGUUGGAUUAGCUAGUUGGUGGGGUAAAGGCCUACCAAGGCGACGAUCCAUAGCUGGUCUGAGAGGAUGAUCAGCCACAUUGGGACUGAGACACGGCCCAAACUCCUACGGGAGGCAGCAGUGGGGAAUAUUGGACAAUGGGCGCAAGCCUGAUCCAGCCAUGCCGCGUGAGUGAUGAAGGCCUUAGGGUUGUAAAGCUCUUUCACCGAUGAAGAUAAUGACGGUAGUCGGAGAAGAAGCCCCGGCUAACUUCGUG
rnacentral:rRNA from 1 species